CUGACAUGAUCACAGAGGGUUUCCUACCAGCUGGGAGAGUCUGAAAAGUUUCCCCUGGGUGGUAUCAGUAAAGCUUCUAUUGGGGGGUACCACAAGAAGCUCUGCUGAAAGUCUACUGCAAGCAAGGAAGGUGCUGCUGAACCCAGUGAGCUCUGGACAGGAGAUAAGGAAGAAAGGAAAAAGAGAAGAACUUUUCCUUAAAGGACCAGAGAACAGAGACCUGCAAGUCUUUUCCCAGUUCACACAGCAGGUUUUUUCCUUGCAGGGCUCUCUGUUUUGGCAGACGGUAGACGUUUCUCACCACACGACAAGCUUCUGAAAACCAGCAACAGAAAGUCGAGGAUGCUCUGUGCCCACGUUGGCUUUAAAAUAUCCUGCCCACCAAAGGCUUUCAUCUGCAAUGAGCCUUGCACUGAUUCCUGCCUGCACCCAGGUCCAUGGCUGAGACCCCAAAGCUCUUUGACAUCCCUGCUGGGAAGGUUUCCCCCGUAUCCCAUCUCACAGAGAGAAGGCACCUAGGAAGUACCUCACUGUACGUACACAAGUGGCAUCGGUUCUCUUAUCUUGCGGGAAAAAGCAGAAGAGAAAAAGAAUAAAGCAUCUUGGCACCAUUUCAGCCAGAAGUAUAGAGCAAUAUUUCGAGAACAUAUUGUCCUUAGAGGGGGAGAGUGAAAUCAGCUACAUGAAGCUAGCAUGACAUUUGUCUUCAUAGGAAUAUGGUGUGCAAAUUGAUCUCAUAGUACAUGGGGGGUUAAGCAAAUUUGGAUCUUUUUAAAAGCUGACAUACUUGUCUAGAAGAAAGGCUGUUUGGAGAGAGAAAACCAGGACUGGAAAGACUUCUAGAAACCUCCUUGCAGGAUGCUUGAUGCUGUUCACCAACUGAAAGAGAAAGCCCAAAUGCUGCCCAGUGCUUAAUGCAGUUUGUCGUUCAGUGAGCACAUGAAAGCAGAUUAGAAAUGAUUCUUUAUGGUUUUUUAACAUGAUGCUGUGAAAUACUGUAGCAUUUGAGCCACCACACAUCCGGAAUGCUGGUAAUUAGCAGGAAAACAGUACAGAUAAUAAACCCUUCUUUUCAUC